CAACGCGGGAACGGCGCCGCCAUACCGGCGCCGAUGGACAGUGCCACAGAAACAUACCGCCUGAAGCCGGUUCGGCCCAAGGUAAGGGUGAAAAGGUGGUGUAAGAGACCACCGGGCAGGAUGAGAGUCCUGCCGACUAGGUAAACCCCGCCCGGAGCAAGAUCAAAUAGGGAGACGAGGGUGCGGCCCGCACCAGUCCCGUUCGCGGGAGGCGUCUCCGGGUUGAUCGCGUAGAUAAAUGACCUUAACCUGUGCAAACAGGCUUACAGAAUCCGGCUUAUGAGUCAUUCACGACG
rnacentral:RNase_P_RNA from 1 species